rfam:Phalacrocorax carbo contig162380, whole genome shotgun sequence.
GGCCAAUGAUGAGUGCUGGCAUGUAUUAUCUGAUCUAAAGUCGAUGUCUGUCACCACUUCAGCUCUAGAAUUACUCUGAGACACA